AGGCUUUCUCCCUGCCAGAUUGUGGGUGGAACAUUUGGGGAAUGGUAACUGAAGCGUUCCAGGCACCAGACUUCAGGUAAGAAGUGGAAUCCUGCCCGUGACCCUGCAGCAUUCAACAGCUGAAAAUGACUUUUAAAGCCGUUUGGUGAAUGGAAAGACCACGGCAAGCCACUAGGUGGCAAACCAGACCCAGAGAACGACCUCUCUCAGCAGGUGCUGAAGCAGCUGCCGGUUCCCCAAGUUGGUGACCGGGAACUUGAGCUCAGUCAAGCAGUUCAGGGAGGAUAUCAAACAGAGUCAACAAAGCUUUGCAAUCAAACGUGUCUUUAAAGGGAAUCCGACUUGUGAACCUGGCUCUUGGUAUUCAUUUCAAGCUGCAAGGGGGAGAAGAUGUUACCUAAUAUGGAGCAAUGGCCCUCAUUGGGAACAAAACAUCUCUAAAUGCCAAAACCGGAAUAAAAUUCUAUUUAAAAA